CUCUCUCUCUCUCCUCUCUAUCUUAUCUCUAUUCUCUCAUCCUCUUAUUUUCUUUUCUAGCUUCAUCUCUAGCGGCGAGGCGCAGCACCGGGCGAGCGCGGCGCCGGGCGGCGGCGGCGCCUGUGCGCGGCGCCGGGCAGCGGGGGCGGCCAGCACUGCGCCGGGCAGCGGCGGCCAGCGCGGCACCGGGCGGGGGCGCAUGCGCGCGCUGGGAGCCAUGUCGGGCGGCGGAGGCGGCCAGCAUGGCGCCAGGCAGGGAGUAGCGCCGAGCGGGGAAGCCUGCACGCGCUGGGCGGGAGCGGCAGCCAGCGUGGCGCUAGGCGUGGAUCAGCGUCGGGCGGUGGCUUGUGCGGAGAGCGGCGGCGGCAUGUGCGAAUGCGAAUUUUUCCUGUGAAUUUGUUUAUUUGUGAUGUGAAUUUGUUCACACUGUGGAUCUGUGAAUUUGUGAUGUCAAUUGGAGUAUGUUCAUUGGAUCUAUGAAGUUGUGGAUGAUUUUCUG
rnacentral:sRNA from 1 species